AGAAUCAACGCUGGCGGCGUGCCUAACACAUGCAAGUCGAACGAGAAAGUGGAGCAAUCCAUGAGUAAAGUGGCGCACGGGUGAGUAACACGUGACUAACCUACCCUUGAGUGGGGGAUAACCUAGGGAAACCUGGGCUAAUACCGCAUAAUACCUUCGGGUCAAAGGAGCAAUUCGCUUAAGGAGGGGGUCGCGGCCGAUUAGUUAGUUGGGGGGGUAACGGCCCACCAAGGCGACGACGGGUAGCCGGCCUGAGAGGGCGACCGGCCACACUGGGACUGAGACACGGCCCAGACUCCUACGGGAGGCAGCAGUGGGGAAUAUUGCACAAUGGGCGAAAGCCUGAUGCAGCGACGCCGCGUGCGGGAUGAAGGCCUUCGGGUUGUAACCGCUUUCACCAGGACGAAGCGAGAGUGACGGUACCGUGGGAAGAAGCGCCGGCUAACUACGUGCCAGCAGCCGC
rnacentral:rRNA from 1 species